rnacentral:rRNA from 1 species
UAAGGGCACACGGUGGAUGCCUUGGCAUGCAGAGGCGAUGAAGGACGUGUAAAGCUGCGAAAAGCCACGGGGAGCUGCACAAAAGUGUUGAUCCGUGGGUGUCCGAAUGGGGCAACCCAUCCCUUAGGGGAUAUCCUUUCGAGGAGGCAUACGCUCUGAACUGAAACAUCUAAGUAGGAGCAGGAAGAGAAAACAAUAGUGAUUCCCUGAGUAGUGGCGAGCGAAAGGGGAGAAGCCCA